UCGCAAUCUUCUUUAUCGAUUUGAACUCUCAAAAAAAAUUACGCUGUUAUCCCUAAGGUAACUUUUUCUUUUAAUCUAAAUAAUAGGAUCAAAAAAUCAUUAAUUAAUGAUUAAAUAAAAAAAAGUUUAUUAAAUUUUUCUGUCACCCCAACUAAACAAAUUAAUAUUUACAAAAUUUUUAUUCCAAUAAUUUAUUAACAACAAAUUUGUAAAGCUCUAUAGGGUCUUCUUGUCUUCUAUAAUUAUUUAAGCUUUUUCACUUAAAAAUAAAAUUCUAAAAAAAUUUUCUCGAGAGAGCAGGUUUCUCAUCAAUCCCUUCAUUCCAGCUUCUAAUUAAGAAACUAAUUAUUAUGCUACCUUUGCACGGUCAAAAUACCGCGGCCAUUUAAAAUUAAUUCAUUGGGCAGGAGCGACCUUAAAUUAUAAUCAAAAGGAC
rnacentral:rRNA from 1 species